rnacentral:lncRNA from 1 species
AACCUUUAUUAUUUUCAAGCUUUUAUUCUGCACGAAUUUCUUUAAUAGUUCUCCUUAAAAAUCACUAAAAGACGAUGAAAACUUAGAGAAAUAAUUUGAAAAUAAUAUAGAUAUAUAUAGAGUUAAAAAAUUAACUCCAACAAUCUCCUCCUUUUCAUCUUUCUACGUCAAAACCAAACGCUGAAGAAUAAGAGGAUUGGUAAAAUAACAAAGCUCCCCC